CCUAGAAAUAAUCUAAGGUGUAACCUGCCCAAUGAUCUUAAAACUAGAAAUAACAAUCUAAAUAAAAAUUUAAAGGACGCAGUAAUCUGACUGUGAUAAUGUAGCAUAAUCAAUCGCCACCUAAUUAGUGGAUAGUAUGAAUGGUCAAACGAAUUCUCCACUGUCUUAAUAAAAGAAAUAAUGAAAUUAAAAUAAUAGUUAAGAUGCUAUUUAAAAUUGUAAGACGAAAAGACCCUAUAGAGCUUAACUAUAUUUUCUUUAAAACUAAAAGAUUUAAUCUUAAAAAAGAGAAAAAGGUAGUUUAGUUGGGGCGACUAUCUUCUAAAAUAAACGAAGAUAAACAAAAUUAAUACAAAAUUUACUGUAUAAUUAAUAAAUUUAACAGUUAUAAAAAUAGGCUAUAAUGACCCGUUAAUAUUUUAUGAUAGAUUUAACGAUCAAUAAAUAAAAGCUACCUUAGGGAUAACAGGAUAAUUUUGUUUUAGAGACCUUAUCGAAAACAAAGUUUGUCACCUCUAUGUUGAAUUAAGAUAUCCCAGUAGUGCAGAAACUACUAAAGGUAGGUCUGUUCGACCUUUAAAAU
rnacentral:rRNA from 1 species